rnacentral:tRNA from 1 species
GAGCGCAUAGCUCAGAGGCAGAGCGACUGACUUUUAAUCAGCAGGCCCGGGGUUCGACUCCCUGUGCGUUCACUA